UACGUAGGGUGCGAGCGUUGUCCGGAAUUAUUGGGCGUAAAGAGCUCGUAGGUGGUUUGUCGCGUUGUUCGUGAAAACUCACAGCUCAACUGUGGGCGUGCGGGCGAUACGGGCAGACUAGAGUACUGCAGGGGAGACUGGAAUUCCUGGUGUAGCGGUGGAAUGCGCAGAUAUCAGGAGGAACACCGUGGCGGAAGGCGGGUCUCUGGGCAGUAAACUGACGCUGGAGGAGCGGAAAGCGUGGGGAGCGAACAGG
rnacentral:rRNA from 1 species